CUAACAAGUCUGGGGAGCAUAUACUCCAUCUAGGUACAGAAAAAGUGAGUGAGAGCCAACUUUCUGUGCACUGUCCUGCCAAAAAAUCUUCAUGCUGAUCUGGAGAAACUCUUCUAGGCAUGCCAGAAUAGUUGGCUCUCCAUAAUCCAUUCAGCCCUCACUUUU
ensembl:misc_RNA